rnacentral:rRNA from 1 species
AGAGUUUGAUCCUGGCUCAGAACGAACGCUGGCGGCAGGCUUAACACAUGCAAGUCGAACGCGUGUAGCAAUACACGAGUGGCGCACGGGUGAGUAACGCGUGGAUAUCUGCCUUUUGGUUCGGAAUAACCCCGGGAAACUGGGGCUAAUACCGGAUGGUUCCUUCGGGAUAAAGAUUUAUCGCCAAAAGAUGAGUCCGCGUCCGAUUAGCUAGUUGGUGAGGUAAUGGCUCACCAAGGCGACGAUCGGUAGCUGGUCUGAGAGGACGAUCAGCCACACUGGGACUGAGACACGGCCCAGACUCCUACGGGAGGCAGCAGUGGGGAAUAUUGGACAAUGGGGGCAACCCUGAUCCAGCCAUGCCGCGUGAGUGAUGAAGGCCUUCGGGUUGUAAAGCUCUUUUGGCGGGGACGAUGAUGACGGUACCCGCAGAAUAAGCCCCGGCUAACUUCGUGCCAGCAGCCGCGGUAAGACGAAGGGGGCUAGCGUUGUUCGGAAUUACUGGGCGUAAAGCGCGUGUAGGCGGUUGUCCAAGUCGGGUGUGAAAGCCUUGAGCUCAACUCAAGAAAUGCACUCGGUACUGGGCGACUAGAGGACCGGAGAGGAUAGUGGAAUUCCCAGUGUAGUGGUGAAAUACGUAGAGAUUGGGAAGAACACCAGUGGCGAAGGCGGCUAUCUGGCGGUUUCUGACGCUAAGACGCGAAAGCGUGGGGAGCAAACAGGAUUAGAUACCCUAGUAGUCC